GCGUGUGUGAAGAAGGUCUUCGGAUUGUAAAGCACUUUCGGCGGGGACGAUGAUGACGGUACCCGCAGAAGAAGCCCCGGCUAACUUCGUGCCAGCAGCCGCGGUAAUACGAAGGGGGCUAGCGUUGCUCGGAAUUACUGGGCGUAAAGGGCGCGUAGGUGGCUUGGUCAGUCAGGCGUGAAAUUCCUGGGCUUAACCUGGGGGCUGCGCUUGAUACGGCUAGGCUGGAGGUUGGAAGAGGCUCGUGGAAUUCCCAGUGUAGAGGUGAAAUUCGU
rnacentral:rRNA from 1 species